UUUAAGGGUGGAUGGUGGAUGCCUUGACACUAAAUGGCGAUGAAGGACGUGGCGUAGCUGCGAUAAGCGUCGGGAAGGUGCCUAGCAACCUGUGAUCCGGCGAUGUCCGAAUGGGGUAACCUAUCAUGACAAACUCAUGAUGCUUUGAAUGUUAACUAUGUUCAAAGAGCGCACCUGGGGAACUGAAACAUCUUAGUACCCAGAGGAAAAAAGAAUAACAAUUUAUUCCCUUAGUAGCGGCGAGCGAAACGGGAAGAGCCUAAACCGAGUUUGUGACAAAUUCAUUGGCUAGCUGAAGUUGCUGGAAAGCAACGCCAAAGAGAGUGAUAGCCUCGUCGGCGAAAGUUGAUGAACUCUUAGUUUUUUUUCUUAAGUAAUUCGAGGCCAACUAACCUCGAGUGAAUCCGGGAGUACUAUCUCCUAAGGCUAAAUACAUUUAGUGAUCGAUAGUGAACCAGUACCGUGAGGGAAAGGUGAAAAGCAGCCCUGUUAGGGCGAUGAAAUAGUACCUGAAACCAUCUACUUACAAGGAAGCGGAGGCUUAAUCCGCCGCAAGGCGGACGGCUGACGCUGUGCCUAUUGAAGAAUGAGCCAACGAGUUUACAUAUAUUGCAAAGUCUAAGACCCCUCGGGGGUUAGAGGCGUAGCGAAAGCGAGUGUUAAAAGCGCGUUACUUUCUUCUUACGACUCGCGACACACGUGGCGAGUCGCAAGGAGAUUUGUUAGCAGUAUGUGUAAGACCCGAAACCAGACGAGCUUGCCCUGGCCAGGCUGAACCCUUGAGAAAUCAAGGGGGAGGGCCGCACCGGUUGGUUGUUCAAAACCUUCGGAUGAGUCGGGGUAAGGAGUGAAAAGCUAAUCGAGUUUGGUAAUAGCUGGUUCUCGCCGAAAUAGUUUUAGGACUAGCGCCGCAAUAAUUCUUAUGGGGGUAGAGCACUGGAUGAUAGCCACAGGGCGAAAGCUCGGGCCAUCAAUCAAACUCCGAAUACCGUAAGAAAUUCGCGGUAGUCAGGCUACGGGGGCUAAGCUCCGUGGCCGCGAGGGGAAGAGCCCAGAUCGCCGUCUAAGGUCCCCAAAUCCAAGCUAAGUGUCAAAGGUAGUUAUUAUCCAUAAACAGAUAGGAGGUUGGCUUAGAGGUAGCCAUCCUUUAAAGAGUGUGUAACAACUCACUAUUCGAGGGUAAUAGCGCCGAAAAUUUAUCGGGGCUAAGCUUGGUACCGAAGACGCGGAUUCAUCUUUCUUCGGAAAGGUGAGUGGUAGGCGAGCAUUCCUUGCGCAGUGAAGCUUGACCCGUGAGGGCAAGUGGAGGGCAAGGAAGAGAGAAUGUUGGCAUGAGUAAUCGCAAAUCUAGUGAAAAACUAGAUCUCCGCAAAUCCAAGGUUUCCUCCGCAACGCAAAUCGACGGAGGGUUAGGCGACCCUAAGGCAAUGGCGAAAGCCGCAGCUGAAGGAUAGCCGGUUAAUAUUCCGGCCCAUCUUAUUUUUUCGAUGGGGGGACGAGGUGCAGUAGGUUCAACGUCUUAAUGGUUUGAUGCCCUUUAUCGCAGGCGUGGUCCUGGCAAAUCCGGAUCGCUGCCUUCAAUGGCAAGCUCCAGAGAAAAGGCGAGAACCAGGUUUUUACCUGGUUCAAGUGAACCGAGCUCAUCUCCGAGAAAAUCCCCUAAGGUUAGGAAAUAAGGUACCGUACCGUAAACCGCCACUGGUGGAUGAGGCGAGUAGCCUCAGGAGAACGGGUGAUUUUUCGUUAAGGAACUCGGCAAAAAAGCUAGGCGUAACUUCGGGAUAAGCCUUACCUCACGCAAGUGAGGUCGCAGCUAAAGUUUCUCUAGCGACUGUUUACCAAAAACACAGCUCCCUGCGAACUCGUAAGAGGAUGUAUAGGGGGUGACGCCUGACCGAUGCGAGAAGGUUAACGGUGGGGGUGACGAGCUACUCACUGCCCGAAGCCCUCGUCAAUGUCCGCGGUAACUAUAACCGUGUUAAAGUAGCGCAAUUCCUUUCCGGGUAAGUUCCGGAGCGCAUGAAAGGCGUAACGAGAUGAAAAUGCGAUUCCCGUGAAGACGCGGGAUACCGGCAGCAAGACGAAAAGACCCCGGAAGCUUUACUGUAGUUUGAUAUUGUUAUUAAAGCUCGGAUGCGUAGCGUAGUGGUGAGGCUUUGAAGCUAGGAUUUCGGUUCUGGUGGAGCCGCCAAUGAAACAGCCAUCUUUCGAAUUUUAAUAUCUAACCUGUGCGGCAAAAACGCGCGGGAACAGUGUCUGACGGGCAGUUUUUCUGGGGCAGAAUCCUCCUAAAGAGUAAUGGAGGAGCCCAUUAAGGUUGGCUUGGCGCGGAUGGAAAUCGCGCUGGACGUGUAAAAGCAGAAGCCAGCUUGACUGCAAGGCCUACAAGCCGCGCAGAUGCGAAAGCAGGGUUUAGCGACCCGACCAUUCUUUAUAGAAAGGUGGGAGAUAACGGAUAAAAGUUACUCCGGGGAUAACAGGCUAGUGGAGUCCGAGAGUCCCUAUCGACGACUCCGCUCGGCACCUCGAUGUCGGCUCACCACAUCCCGGGGCUGGAGAAGGUCCCAAGGGUUUGGCUGUUCGCCAAUUAAAGUGGUACGUGAGCUGGGUUCA
rnacentral:rRNA from 1 species